UACGGGGGGGGCAAGCGUUGUUCGGAAUUACUGGGCGUAAAGGGCUCGUAGGUGGCCAACUAAGUCGGACGUGAAAUCCCUCAGCUUAACUGGGGAACUGCGUCCGAUACUGGAUGGCUCGAGUUUGGGAGAGGGAUGCGGAAUUCCAGGUGUAGCGGUGAAAUGCGUAGAUAUCAGGAAGAACACCCGUGGCGAAGGCGGCUCUCUGGAACGCAACUGACGCUGAGACGCGAAAGCGUGGGGAGCAAACAGG
rnacentral:rRNA from 1 species